rnacentral:rRNA from 1 species
UACAGAGGGGGCAAGCGUUGUUCGGAAUUACUGGGCGUAAAGGGCGCGUAGGCGGCCUGUUAAGUCGAACGUGAAAUCCCUGGGCUCAACCCAGGAACUGCGUCCGAUACUGGCAGGCUUGAAUCCGGGAGAGGGAUGUGGAAUUCCAGGUGUAGCGGUGAAAUGCGUAGAUAUCUGGAGGAACACCGGUGGCGAAGGCGGCAUCCUGGGCCUGUACUGACGCUGAGGUACGAAAGCGUGGGGAGCAAACAGG